rnacentral:rRNA from 1 species
AUUGAACGCUGGCGGCAUGCCUUACACAUGCAAGUCGAACGGCAGCGGACCUUCGGGUGCCGGCGAGUGGCGAACGGGUGAGUAAUAUAUCGGAACGUACCUUUCAGUGGGGGAUAACGUAGCGAAAGUUACGCUAAUACCGCAUAUUCUGUGAGCAGGAAAGCAGGGGAUCGCAAGACCUUGCGCUGAUUGAGCGGCCGAUAUCAGAUUAGCUAGUUGGUGAGGUAAAGGCUCACCAAGGCGACGAUCUGUAGCGGGUCUGAGAGGAUGAUCCGCCACACUGGAACUGAGACACGGUCCAGACUCCUACGGGAGGCAGCAGUGGGGAAUUUUGGACAAUGGGCGCAGGCCUGAUCCAGCCAUGCCGCGUGAGUGAAGAAGGCCU